CUUUGAGUCUCCUUUUCUCUGACUUUUCGUUUCAAAUUUAUUGGAAAAUCUGAGCGAUAGUUUGCAAUAAUUGUGAUUUUGUUGAGCUAUUAUCCCGCAAAAAGCAGCGAUUUAUUCAAGAUAAUUCCAGGUUUUUAGAACAGCACCUUUUAAGUUUUAGAGCUGGCUACAGUUGUUUAUUGGGGCAGUGUCUCAUCAGCGGCGCUACCAACAGCGGUGUUAUAAGCAAGUUCCAGGUAGGAAAUUGUUAAAUCCAACAUAUUUAUAUCAUCAGAAUCUAACCAGUCUUUAUGUUUGUGUUUCUUCCAUCAGAUUUUUGGAGCAGUGUCUCGCCAAGCUGCGCUACCAGCAGCGUUUUAAUAAGCAAGUUCCAGGUAGGAAAUUAUGAAAUCCAAAACAUUUAUAUUAUCAGAAUCUAACCAGUCUUUAUGUUUGUGUUUCUUCCAUCAGAUUUUUGGAGCAGUGUCUCGCCAAGCUGCGCUACCAGCAGCGUUUUAAUAAGCAAGUUCCAGGUAGGAAAUUAUGAAAUCCAAAACAUUUAUAUUAUCAGACCUUAACCAGUCUUUAUGUUUGUGUUUCUUCCAACAGAUUUUUGGAGUAGUGCACACCAGCAGCAUCAUCACCUUCUACAACUAGGGAUUUUUCAAUUGCGUUUCAGGUAAGAAUUUAGCAAUUGCCAAUGAAUCAAAUUGGUAACUUAUUUUUUUAUUUGUUUUUGGCCUACACCCAUGCUUACACCAUCUUGUAAUGAUAUAAUUAUUAAUACACCAUGGCUCACACUAAUCACGGAUUCGGUACUUAUCUCCAAGCGUUUCCGCUCGGAUGACUAUGAUGAGGGACUUCGGUCUAGCCACUUAAACGUAUAAUUAUUUAAUAAUAUAACAGAUAGAAUUUAGAUGUGUAGGUUUUAAAUGGUAACGAAAAUAUAGUUUGUAAUAAAAUUCCCGUCAAAGUUAAGUUAUUUAAAAACUUAGUACGCAUAUAUACUUCAGAACUUAAGGAAAAAAAAUACAAAUAAAAUUCCAUACUUGAUGAUAUGUUAUUUUUAUUAGAAGUUAAAUAUAA